rnacentral:misc_RNA from 1 species
CAGCCGCGUAAUUCCAGCUCCAAUAGCGUAUAUUAAAGUUGUUGCAGUUAAAAAGCUCGUAGUUGAAUUUCGGGAUUAAUUUAUUGGUCGUGCUAUUGUACGUACUGGUAUUAUUGAUUCCUACCUUCUGACGAACCAUGAUGUCAUUAAUUUGGUGUCUUGGGGAAUCAGGACUGUUACUUUGAAAAAAUUAGAGUGUUUAAAGCAGGCUCACGCUUGAAUACAUUAGCAUGGAAUAACGAAAUAGGACGUUUGAUUCUAUUUUGUUGUUUUCUAGGAUCGACGUAAUGAUUAAUAGGGAUAGUUGGGGGCAUUAGUAUUCAAUUGUCAGAGGUGAAAUUCUUGGAUUUAUUGAAGACUAACUACUGCGAAAGCAUUUGCCAAGGAUGUUUUCAUUAAUCAAGAACGAAAGUUAGGGGAUCGAAGACGAUCAGAUACCGUCGUAGUCUUAACCAUAAACUAUGCCGACUAGGGAUCGGAUGAUGUUAAUUUUUUAAUGACUCAUUCGGCGCCUUACG